CUGCUCACCAUCUAUCUCAGUAACAUGACGAUCCUUGGAGGAAAUUAGGCUUUUGGGAUCAGCUAAAUUACUUCCUGAAUGCUCCUCCUCCAUGUUAAUUUCAAGAAAGGCAGAACCACCCAACACAAACACCAAUAUACUUUACCAGUUAGGUGAAUUAAGCUGUAUGUAUUAAUACUACUACUCUUUGCGUUCCUUUUUAAUUAAGAGAAAACGCAAAGAUUAAUCUUCUUCUAAAAUAUGUAACGACAAAUAAAAAAAGAGCCAAUGCUGCCGACCUAAUUAAUUCUCUAUUUUCAUAACUUUGAUGAUAUAUAGUAUAGAGUAGUUAUGAUGAAUAUAACAUAUCAAACUUUGCUGAUAAAAAGUAUUGCAGCCAAAAUCUAUUAAAAAUUUGUAUUGAAUUUAUAUGGACUGACGAUGAGGACAUCUCAAUUAUAAUAUGUGAAAUUGUCCCCAUAAUCAAACAAUAAUGAUUCCUCCACCACAAGAUUAUGGUUAAAAAAUAAAACUCUGCUCCAUGCAGACGGUAAAAGUACUGAAUUUAAUAUUUAUGCUGUCCAAUAAAACUAUAAAGUGAAAAAUUAUCAAGGGCCCUUUUGUUUUGUUUUGUAUGAUGAAUAUAUACUCCCUCAUUUUUAUAUAUUAAUUAUUAUUUUCUUUACAAUAUAGGGCAAUAUAUAUGGUCAUCAUACACAACUAUUUAUGUUUUAUUAGUGCAAAGUCUGUCAAAAUUACGUCGUUUUGGCAGAUUUAUUUUAAAAAAACAGUUUCCCUUCUCCAAAUCAAAAACAAAUGUGCCAAAACAAUGUAAUUUUAACAGAUUGUGCACAAAUAAAAUAUACACAAUUUGUCUAUGACCAUUAUUCUCAUAUAUAUAUAUGAAGCUAAACCCACAAUUAUUAUCACUUGAGUGAAACCGUGUAUGUGACUACAUUCAUUCAUCA
rnacentral:lncRNA from 1 species